GCACCCGUAGCUCAAUUGGAUAGAGCAUCGGUCUACGGAACCGAAGGUUAUAGGUUCGAAUCCUAUCGGGUGUAC
rnacentral:tRNA from 3 species